rnacentral:rRNA from 1 species
UAUCCUAACCGGUGCGAAGGUAGCAUAAUCACUUGUUCUUUAAAUGGGGACUUGUAUCAACGGCACCACGAGGGUUAGACUGUCUCCUUUUUCAAAUCAGUGAAAUUAAUCUCCCCGUGAAGAAGCGGGGAUACUCAUAUAAGACGAGAAGACCCCAUGGAGCUUCAAACCCAACUACACCCCUAGCUCUUAUAGCCCCACAACCCCCCCCCCC